rnacentral:rRNA from 1 species
AUGAUGGGUGGGCCCUGUUGGGCGUGGGGGUGGGUGGGCCCUGUUGGGCGUGGGGGGCAGAUAUUGAGGUGGAGUUGGCUAACGUUUUGGUGCAAAUGGAUUUCGUCCACGGAUGAACACUUAGGUUUCGCACCAGCGCAAGCGACCUCCUCCUCCUCCCUUUCCCAUUCGUCCUCCCUCCUAGCCGCCGCCGCCUCCCCUCCUUCCUCCUCCUCCUCUCUCGCCAGUGCCGCCUGGCCGUUGCUGCCUCCUCCUUGGUGCUCAAGGGGACGAGCACGAGAGGUCGCCACACUGCACUACCUCGUCCAGGGUGGGUGCUGAGGACCUACAGAUCUCUCUCUCCCUGCUACCUCUUUCCCCGACCCCUCUGCCUCCCCCACCAUGAGAGAUAGAGAGAGGGAUGGACAAAUAGGAGACGGGGCAAGAGGAGAAGAGGAAGGUGACGGGGCAGGAGGAGAAGUGGAAGGAGAGGCCGUCUGUGCGCACGUGGCCAUUGGCUGGCCGGGCUCAGCUCUUGCAGAACUGCGGAUUCUUUUGUGUAUAUGCCUACAAGGUGUUUGGUGAAAAUCCAAGCAACCCCUUGAUUUCGUUUCUUGCAGAUAUUUCUAUGGGUUUCUCCAUUAGUAUGUUUUUCCUCAACUACCAUAUCAAUCUGGCAGCCGUUGGCACAUGUGACCUUGGUUGAGGAAUUUGUUCCACAUCUCCUUGUACCAAGAGCAGAUCUGCGCCCCACCUCUCCAGUGUUGGCUCAUUGGCCACCGCGGAUCCUAGCUGUCCUUGGGACGCCAUCAACAGGUGUUGUAUAAUGCUGUUACUUGCUGGUGAUGUUGUUUCUGUGCUGCCUAUGGAGUGACAAUAACGACAUUCAAUUAUGAUGCGUUUGACCGUAACACAAAGAUUAAGGAAAUUAAUUACCAUUUGUCGAUUGACGACUUGAAAAGAAGCAUGGAGGCAACAAAUGGGGUAUUAUUUUGAUCUCAUCUCACACAUUCAAUUACUCUUUGUCCUACUAUAUGGCUUUUUAUUAGUUAUUUACACAUACUCGAUGCAUUGCAAAAUGUCUGUUUCUGGAAAUCGCCAUAUCCCGUAUCCCCGCAACCGUAUUGUCGUAUUUGUCGCUCUAUCAGUGCUUCAUUGGUCUAGGUAAAAAUGUGUAGAUUUCCUUUAUUUUGCGCAUAUUCUCUUCAAUCAGUGUUGUUACUUUUUGUGCUUGGUGUUUUAUUCCAGCCAGAUGCAAGCGGCAAAAGGCGACUGGGAUUAACCAUCGAUGCUGGUUUUCAUAUCCAAAUACCGGUCUUUGUUGGUAUGUACAUGAGAUGGGGGAAAUCAUGCCUUAAGAGAGCCAGAUGCGGAAGGUACUGUUUAAGAAAUCCGGAUGCUUGCUUGUAAUAUGUUUACAUUGUUUACUCAUGUACAUAUUCCUUUUGUAGAUGUUCCUUUAGGAUUUCUAAAAUUGUUUGUUUACUCAUGUACAUUGUUUGCAUCUGUGAAUAUAUUUUUAUAUUUAGGGAUUUUCCAUUGCCUCUAGAAAGUUGUUUGUUUCAUCC